rnacentral:rRNA from 1 species
AAAGCUCAAAUUUGAAAUCUGGCACCUUUGGUGUCCGAGUUGUAAUUUGAAGAAAGUAACUUUUGGAAUAAGCCUUGCAUAAGUUCCUUGGAACAGGACGUCAUAGAGGGUGAGAAUCCCGUAUAUGGUGGGGUAUUUAUUUCAAUGUAAAGUGCUUUCGAAGAGUCGAGUUGUUUGGGAAUGCAGCUCUAAGUGGGUGGUAAAUUCCAUCUAAAGCUAAAUAUUGGCGAGAGACCGAUAGCGAACAAGUACAGUGAUGGAAAGAUGAAAAGAACUUUGAAAAGAGAGUGAAAAAGUACGUGAAAUUGUUGAAAGGGAAGGGCUUGAAAUCAGACUUGGUAUUCAGUGAUCAGCAAUCUCUCGGGGUUGUGCACUUGCUGUUUACUGGGCCAGCAUCGGUUUUGACGGUGAGAUAAUAGCACUUGAAUGUGGCUCUCUUCGGGGAGUGUUUAUAGCUUGUGUUGAUAUCAUCAGUCGGGAUCGAGGACCGCGCAUUUUGCUAGGAUGCUGGCGUAAU